GGGGGCAUAGCUCAGCUGGCAGAGCGCGCGCGGGCCCUGCUGCGGGCCCGGCUGCGGGCCCGGGCUUAGCUUGCGCGAGGUCUCAAGUUCGAUUCUUGAUGCCUCCA